CUUUUCCUUCCCGAGCACUCUCUUCUCCUUCUUCUUCUUCUUCUUCUUCUUCUUCUUCUUCUUCUCUCGGCAACCGGUGGCAAGACACCAGACCCAACCACCACCGGCCACCAUUUUUGACGCGCGGCAGCUCAUCGGUUUCGCCUUGCUCCGGCGACCUCAACUGCCAAGCGGCACCGCCCAACUCGCCGUUAAUCGUUCGGAAUCGCCAAUCAAAGUUUUGGUCCGUCAACUUUGACUGUGUUUUCCAGCCAACUCCGACCACCACUCGGCAAGUGGUUGGUACCUUUGGAACCAGCGUGAAGAGAGGAACAAAACCCACUAAGUCAUUCCGGUCAACUCGCCGUUUUUCUCCGGCAAGAUUUUGGGUAUCUCUGCCCUUUGGAAGCGUUUUACGGUGACACCGGAGGUCAUUUGGGCGAAGGAGCUGUACUUUCGUGAUGUACUCAUCGGGAUGAUCGUUUUGAUAUAUGCCAUGCAUAUAUUCGUUGACGUUUCCGGUACCGCCACCAACCGCUAUUGUGCACCGCUUGGGAAAAACGUGAUAUUAAAAUCGGACUAAAUCAUUCUAAGAUCAUCGAUAAGCUUAGGAGCGUUGCUUUGGGCUCGGAUUAAAUUCUAAGGAGGUAUCUAAAGAGGUAGGGACUCAACUAGACUAUUGGACUUAUUUUACUCGUAUCAAA